ACGUCGGGCUCGCUCGAGCUGGGCUCAUUACAGCCCCUCCCGCUCAGACUCGGGGCCUCAUUUUCAUCUCCGCCCUUUUCCCUUCUCUCGGACCCUCGCCUCCCUUGCUCUUCCUUCCCUGGCGGCGACGACUGGGCGAGCGGCGGCGUCAUCUGUCACGUCUUCGCUCAGCCCUUUGCCGGCGACGAGCAUCCUCCAGGGAAAAAAAAAGGUUCGAGUGAUUCUAGGUGGCCAGUCUAGUUCGCCACGCUAAUUCAACCGAGGAAAAGUAGAAAAUUUCUUGCCUUUACUGAAAAUUCUUGAUCCGGCGUCGAUGUGUGGUGUGAUUUUGAUUACUUACAGUUUUAAAACCUUAUGUGCCAUUUUAAAU